AGUCGAACGAACUCUGGUAUUGAUUGGUGCUUGCAUCAUGAUUUACAUUUGAGUUAGUGGCGAACUGGUGAGUAACACGUGGGAAACCUGCCCAGAAGCGGGGGAUAACACCUGGAAACAGAUGCUAAUACCGCAUAACAACUUGGACCGCAUGGUCCGAGCUUGAAAGAUGGCUUCGGCUAUCACUUUUGGAUGGUCCCGCGGCGUAUUAGCUAGAUGGUGGGGUAACGGCUCACCAUGGCAAUGAUACGUAGCCGACCUGAGAGGGUAAUCGGCCACAUUGGGACUGAGACACGGCCCAAACUCCUACGGGAGGCAGCAGUAGGGAAUCUUCCACAAUGGACGAAAGUCUGAUGGAGCAACGCCGCGUGAGUGAAGAAGGGUUUCGGCUCGUAAAACUCUGUUGUUAAAGAAGAACAUAUCUGAGAGUAACUGUUCAGGUAUUGACGGUAUUUAACCAGAAAGCCACGGCUAACUACGUGCCAGCAGCCGCGGUAAUACGUAGGUGGCAAGCGUUGUCCGGAUUUAUUGGGCGUAAAGCGAGCGCAGGCGGUUUUUUAAGUCUGAUGUGAAAGCCUUCGGCUCAACCGAAGAAGUGCAUCGGAAACUGGGAAACUUGAGUGCAGAAGAGGACAGUGGAACUCCAUGUGUAGCGGUGAAAUGCGUAGAUAUAUGGAAGAA
rnacentral:rRNA from 2 species